rnacentral:ncRNA from 2 species
GCCAUCUGGCGCGCAGCUGGUGCCUGUGUAAACAGGUGAAAAGGGAAUGUGCAGCCGCAAGGUCAGCACAGCCGCCCCCGCGACCGUGACCGGAGAGGUCCCCGAAGCCACUGGCGCAAUGCCGGGAAGGACGGGAGACCGAGGGCCGCAAGGCCCGAAUCCGCAAGCCGGGAGACCUGCCAGCGACCGAAGACAUGG